rnacentral:tRNA from 1 species
UUGGUCUUAUAGUCUAGUGGUUAGGACAGCGGUUUUUGAAGAUAUCCGUCCGGAUAAUUAAAACAUUACCGUUAGCCCCGGUUCGAACCCGGGUAAGACCUUUAUUUUUA